rnacentral:lncRNA from 10 species
GCUGUGGUCUCGGUGUAGCACGAUGGAAUCUGGUGGCUUAAACCUAGCUGUCCACAUUUCACUAUCUGAAGAGCAGAAAAUGUGUUAAUAGGAGCCUGGUGAGUGGAGGAGACUGAAGAUGGAGAGAGAGCCUGGACCUCAACAUGAGCAUCUGGAGCCAUUUGGCAGCAUUAGGCUGUGACCGCUUAGAGAACCGAAAGGUGCAGAGCUUUAAAGGAUUAUGGAGUCUGAAGACCAAAUGGGAUGAUGGAGAACAGCUAUUCAGUGGUACAAAUGUAAAUGCUCCCAGGCCCGGGCAGAAGACAGAGAUGAAGAAAAGAAGGAAGUGGAGGCAAUGAGGAAAGGAGGGAAGAAGGAAGGAAGGAAAUCAUGCUUGAAAGAAGGUAUUUGUCUUUUUGCUACUCACAUUUAUGAAAACCUUGCCUGUUUAGGCCAUAUUGUGGAACAUGUCAAGUUUUUUUCCGGAUGUGGCGGAGAUUAUGCAGCUACAAUGAAGCCAGAUUAAGAUUUCAGGAAAAUGGACAGAUCUCUACAAUGUUCUCCAAAGAGAUUGUUUUGCUUGCCAAUAAAAAGAGACACCUGGGAGCACCAUACUCUCUCCUGUUCCUCUGGGUAUCAUAUUUCCUUAUGACACCUGAAACUCUGAUGCCUUCUGGGUCCAUGAAAGCAGUGAGAUGAGCACAGGAAACCACGCUGAGGAUGGUUGAGCAAAAAGGUGACAUUGAGCCACUGGAUUAACCUGCCCAGAAACAGGAUAUCUUCAGAUUUCUUGUUAAGUAAGAAAAUGUAAUUUUGUUGAUUCUAAGUUACACUUUCUUUUGUUAGUUCAACAUCUCUGAAAUCAGAACAUAUUUUGCCAUGGUAAUAUCUUACCAUCACUGUAAUAUGUAAUAUCCUUACAUAGGUGUCAUUGCCUAUGCAUGUGUCAACUUGAUUGCUAUUCUCUGUGAUAUGACUGACAACUGCAGCCCUUUGACAGUUCAGUCGACAAACCAUUGAAGAUUAUUAGGGUAAGAAAUACUGCUUUCUGUCUGAAAACUUUCCAAUGACAUCUUCUGAAAAGACAAAGAAAGUAUCAGCAUCAAAAUUUGCGUAAUAGGCCGGGCGCGGUGGCUCACGCCUGUAAUCCCAGCACUUUGGGAGGCCGAGGCGGGCGGAUCACGAGGUCAGGAGAUCGAGACCAU